AGAGUUUGAUCCUGGCUCAGGAUGAACGCUGGCGGCGUGCCUAACACAUGCAAGUCGAGCGAUUCUCUUCGGAGAAGAGCGGCGGACGGGUGAGUAACGCGUGGGUAACCUGCCCUGUACACACGGAUAACAUACCGAAAGGUAUGCUAAUACGGGAUAAUAUAUAAGAGUCGCAUGACUUUUAUAUCAAAGAUUUUUCGGUACAGGAUGGACCCGCGUCUGAUUAGCUUGUUGGCGGGGUAACGGCCCACCAAGGCGACGAUCAGUAGCCGACCUGAGAGGGUGAUCGGCCACAUUGGAACUGAGACACGGUCCAAACUCCUACGGGAGGCAGCAGUGGGGAAUAUUGCACAAUGGGCGCAAGCCUGAUGCAGCAACGCCGCGUGAGCGAUGAAGGCCUUCGGGUCGUAAAGCUCUGUCCUCAAGGAAGAUAAUGACGGUACUUGAGGAGGAAGCCCCGGCUAACUACGUGCCAGCAGCCGCGGUAAUACGUAGGGGGCUAGCGUUAUCCGGAUUUACUGGGCGUAAAGGGUGCGUAGGCGGUCUUUCAAGUCAGGAGUUAAAGGCUACGGCUCAACCGUAGUAAGCUCCUGAUACUGUCUGACUUGAGUGCAGGAGAGGAAAGCGGAAUUCCCAGUGUAGCGGUGAAAUGCGUAGAUAUUGGGAGGAACACCAGUAGCGAAGGCGGCUUUCUGGACUGUAACUGACGCUGAGGCACGAAAGCGUGGGGAGCAAACAGGAUUAGAUACCCUGGUAGUCCACGCUGUAAACGAUGAGUACUAGGUGUCGGAGGUUACCCCCUUCGGUGCCGCAGCUAAC
rnacentral:rRNA from 1 species